GGAUGCUGCAAUUCUUCAUUCUAGAAACAUGCUGACCACAUGAAAUCCAGGGACUGAGGGGGAUGAUUUAAAGCUAUUCACUGAGCAAAGAGCUGCUUUCAGCCAGCCCCAAAAAAGGAUUAGUACAAGAGUGAAGGCUGGACUCUGACCUCCUUAGAGGCUAGGUGCCUGAGGGAGGCAUAUGAGGUGACACACAGCAGGGCAAGAUUCAUUGAACCAGAAGGGGAGGUGUUAAGGAAGCUGACUCCACUUUUCUCAGCUAUGGUACACAGCUGAGAGCAGGGCUGCUUUUCUCUCCUGGGAUGUGUGGUGUUUCUUAUUGUCUGUCAAGGCAGAACUUGUGGAUCUUGUGUACUGGUCUAACAAGGCAUUAGCAAGGAAGCUUAUUUCACUGAAGCUCUCCUUUGAAGAAGAUGCCUGAACUGCACCUGAAUGGGUCAGUCAAAAGUACUUUCAUUUUUUGAAAAAAAAAACAUUUCUGCAACAACAAAAUCUAUUUGAGAGUUGAACUUGUACUGUUACUUCUACAGCAUCCUUGUUAUUUCAUGGUAAAGUUAAAGUUCCACCAAAUUUACUCCCUGUAAUAGUGACUUACUUUACAAAGUAAUGAAUAAAACAUUAUGCAAUUCCUACAAACAUCUGGUUUCAAUGUAGAAUGUCUUAAUUCAAUAGAAAUUGAAAGUUUCCACAUAAGACUUGGGAAAAGGUAUCCUAUUUAGGAUGGAGCAAUCCAUAGUAUCACAAAUCCAUCUUCAUUGUGAGAAAAAGUUCCUCAAGACUGUCGUGCUGAUUGAACUGUAUCUUAGCCUUUAUCUUUCGUCACAAUAAAAUUUGAUAGUCAAUAUACAUUAGCUGUUUUCCUUCUGUCUUAUUAUAAAUCUGAAUUAAAAUCUCAAAUCCUGCUCCAGUAUCCUGCCUUAUUGUAGCCAUGAAAUUUAGCCAAUAAUGUUCUAAUUCAGGGAAGCACUUAAUGGUUACAUUUAAAAGUAAUUUUGUUCUUU